rnacentral:rRNA from 1 species
UACGAAGGGGGCUAGCGUUGCUCGGAAUCACUGGGCGUAAAGGGUGCGUAGGCGGGUCUUUAAGUCAGGGGUGAAAUCCCGGAGCUCAACUUCGGAACUGCCUUUGAUAUAGCACAUCUGGAGUCCGGAAGAGGUGGGUGGAAUUCCUAGUGUAGAGGUGAAAUUCGUAGAUAUUAGGAAAGAACACGGUGGCGAAGGCGGCCCACUGGUCCGGUACUGACGCUGAGGUGCGAAAGCGUGGGGAGCAAACAGGAUUGAG